GACGAACGCUGGCGGCGUGCCUAAUACAUGCAAGUUGAGCGCUGAAGGUUGGUACUUGUACCAACUGGAUGAGCAGCGAACGGGUGAGUAACGCGUGGGGAAUCUGCCUUUGAGCGGGGGACAACAUUUGGAAACGAAUGCUAAUACCGCAUAAAAACUUUAAACACAAGUUUUAAGUUUGAAAGAUGCAAUUGCAUCACUCAAAGAUGAUCCCGCGUUGUAUUAGCUAGUUGGUGAGGUAAAGGCUCACCAAGGCGAUGAUACAUAGCCGACCUGAGAGGGUGAUCGGCCACAAUGGGAAGGGGACACGGCCCAAACUCCUACGGGGGGGAGCAGUAGGGAAUCUUCGGCAAUGGACGAAAGUCUGACCGAGCAACGCCGCGUGAGGGAAGAAGGUUUUCGGAUCGGAAAACUCUGUUGGUAGGGAAGAAAGUUGGUGAGAGUGGAAAGCUCAGCAAGUGACGGUAACUACCCAGAAAGGGACGGCUAACUACGUG
rnacentral:rRNA from 1 species